rnacentral:lncRNA from 1 species
GUUAGUGCGGUGAUGAAGCAUAUAUUGUGGACUAGAGUUUCUGAUAUUGGGCUCUUCUUCCCAUUUUAUUUUGACGACAAACCCUUGGCUGUCAGAGCACUAUACCUUUCAUCUAAUUCAUAAGUUUUUAAUACUCUGAGUUUAUUUAUUGUUUUUAAAAUUAGGUUAUAAGAGCUAAUGAUGAGAAAUACAAUUAUCUUAGCGGAUUUCAGUGAGAUUACUUACUUUUAAUUAAUGAUCUGAUUGUUACACACACUGAAGCUCUUAAUAAUUUCUUUUUAUUAAAUGGGAUGUUAAUAAUAAUUGUGGUGAUGAGGUAAAACACAUGAGGAUGUGUUUAGGGAAGUGGACAAGACGAUUAAAACCGUUUUGCCGUGAUCCCCAUUUUAAACGACUUCUCCUUCCACUGAGCUUUAUUUUUAUUUUCAUUCCAACUUUAUAACUAAAUUAAAUUUUUUUGUUUAAUUUGUUUUACAUAUAUAUGUAUAUAUUUGAAGAGAUAUGCUGCGUCCAUUUACCAAUUCUGGAGGAUAAGUUGGUUCCUCACGGUGUAAUGGCUCGGACGCCAUAUUAACAAUUGUGGCCAUCCUGAUCAAUGGGUUCUCGAUACCAUUGUAUCCUGGAAACACCUCAUACAUUU